CCGCCAGUCCGGGUACCGAACCCCAGUCUCACUUGCCAAUUGAUUGUUCUAUCAGAGAGCUACGUAUAUAAGUGGGCAAAAACCAUCGAUGUUUUUGUUCGAUGUAUCGAUGUUCGCCCCGAUGUUUUGAACCUUUUGUAUUUCUAUUUUAUAAUUGGAUUUCAGACUUUCAGAGCGAAGUGAUUAUCUAUAUGUUUUAUGAUGUACGCUCUACUUUCAUCGCGUUUUGUGUAGUGUACUUAUACGGA